rnacentral:miRNA from 1 species
UAACUAGGUUUUAGCUCGGUGA